rnacentral:rRNA from 2 species
GACGAACGCUGGCGGCGUGCCUAAUACAUGCAAGUCGAGCGGAUUKMWGGGAGCUUGCUCCCUGAAAUCAGCGGCGGACGGGUGAGUAACACGUGGGUAACCUGCCUGUAAGACUGGGAUAACUCCGGGAAACCGGGGCUAAUACCGGAUAUUUCUUUUCCUCGCAUGAGGAAAAGUGGAAAGGUGGCUUUUAGCUACCACUUACAGAUGGACCCGCGGCGCAUUAGCUAGUUGGUGAGGUAACGGCUCACCAAGGCAACGAUGCGUAGCCGACCUGAGAGGGUGAUCGGCCACACUGGGACUGAGACACGGCCCAGACUCCUACGGGAGGCAGCAGUAGGGAAUCUUCCGCAAUGGACGAAAGUCUGACGGAGCAACGCCGCGUGAGUGAUGAAGGUUUUCGGAUCGUAAAGCUCUGUUGUUAGGGAAGAACAAGUGCCGUUCGAAUAGGUCGGCACCUGACG